CUUUAGUCUCAAUUUUAUUUUCUUUUUAAUGUCCAUACAAUUUGAUCUACUCUAGUAACUGGACCAAACACCUUUGUUCUAUAACCUUUAUAGCUGAUUUUGUUCUUAUAUAGGACCGGCAUUCGGAGAAGAUGAUUGACGUAGUACAUGAGUCAUAAGGACUAUAUUAUUUCUCUAGUAUGAAAUCUCCAGUUGUUUUUACUUCAGCAGCUUCCUUCGAUCUUCUUCACAAUUAUUUGGGUCAUCCAAGCCUCUUCAAAUCACAAAAAAUGAUUCCUAGUCUAUCCAAAUUGGCUUUUUUAGAGUGCAAGUCAUGCCAAUUUGAGAAACAAAUUCAUGCUUCUUUCCUAAAAGAACUAAUAAUAAGGCUACAUUUGUUUUUCACAUCAUUCAUUCAAAUAUAUGG
rnacentral:misc_RNA from 1 species